GCCAAAUAACUAGCUUAACAACCAAUAAAACCUACACCAUAAAUAAGAAAUUACCAUAAAUAUUAAAUAAACCAUUCUCCACCUUAGUAUGGGAGACAGAAAGGGCCCAAAUAAAGCAAUAGAAACAGUACCGCAAGGGAAAGUUGAAAGAGGAAUGAAAUAACCCAUAAAAGCCAUAAAAAACAAAGACUAAAUCUUGUACCUUUUGCAUCAUGAUUUAGCAAGCCCACCCAAGCAAAGAGACCUUUAGUUUGAAACCCCGAAACCAAGUGAGCUACCCCGAGACAGCCUAUAAAAAGGGCCAACCCGUCUCUGUGGCAAAAGAGUGGGAAGAGCUCCGGGUAGAAGUGACAGACCUAUCGAACUUGGUAAUAGCUGGUUGCCUAGAAAAUGGAUAUUAGUUCAGCCCCAUAAAACUCAAGUCAAGAAUAAGACAUAAAGACCAUGAGAUAAGUAUGGGAGUUAGUUUAAGGAGGUACAGCCCCCCAAACGAAGGAUACAACCUUAACAGGCGAAUAAAGAUCAUACUAAAAAAUAAAUUGUUCAAGUGGGCCUAAAAGCAGCCACCUAAACAGAAAGCGUCAAAGCUCAAACAAGCAAAAAUUUAUUAUACCGACAGACAAUCUUACUUCCCCUAUAGUACUAGGCCACCCCAUGCAUCCAUGGAAGAGAUUAUGCUAAAAUGAGUAACAAGAAGAACUUGACCUUCUCUGAACACAAGUGUAAAUCAGACCGGACCUACCACUGAAAUUUAACGAACCCAAAAAGAGAGGGAAAUAUGAAAAACAAAAUAACCAAGAAAACCCCACAACUAAAAAUCGUUACCCCUACACUGGAGUGCACAAAAGAAAGACUAAAAGAAAAGGAAGGAACUCGGCAAACCAAAGCUUCGCCUGUUUACCAAAAACAUCGCCUCCUGGAGCUCUAAAAUAGGAGGUCCAACCUGCCCAGUGACUAUAAGUUCAACGGCCGCGGUAUCUUAACCGUGCAAAGGUAGCGCAAUCACUAGUUCUCUAAAUAGGGACACGUAUGAAUGGUUAAACGAAAGCUUAGCUGUCUCCCUUUUCCAGUCAGUGAAAUUGACCUAUCCGUGCAGAGGCGGAUAUAAUUAUACAAGACGAGAAGACCCUUUGGAGCUUAAGGCACAAGACCCAUUCAUGUAAAAUAAAUUUAUAAAAAAUAAAACUUAAUGAUAUGAGACUAUGCCUUCGGUUGGGGCGACCACGGAGUAAAAAACAACCUCCGAGUGGAUUGAUUAAAAUCCAAAGCCAAAAGAGACACCUUUAAGCAACAGAACAUCUGACCAAAAAUGACCCGGCCACAAGCCGACCAACGAACCAAGUUACCCAAGGGAUAACAGCGCAAUCCUCUCCAAGAGCCCAUAUCAACGAGGGGGUUUACGACCUCGAUGUUGGAUCAGGACAUCCAAAUGGUGCAGCCGCUAUUAAGGGUUCGUUUGUUCAACGAUUAAAGUCCUACGUGAUCUGAGUUCAGACCGGAGUAAUCCAGGUCAGUUUCUAUCUGUAAAGCUGCUUUUCCUAGUACGAAAGGACCGAAGAAAGGGGGCCCACCCUAAAGAGCGCCCCACCCCAAACCAAUGAAUCCAAAUCAAUAAAACAAAGGGGCAAAAA
rnacentral:rRNA from 1 species